rnacentral:rRNA from 1 species
AGUGAACGCUGGCGGUAGGCCUAACACAUGCCAGUCGAACGGCAGCACAGUAAGAGCUUGCUCUUACGGGUGGCGAGUGGCGGACGGGUGAGGAAUACAUCGGAAUCUACUUUUUCGUGGGGGAUAACGUAGGGAAACUUACGCUAAUACCGCAUACGACCUACGGGUGAAAGUAGGGGAUCUUCGCACCUUGCGCGAUUGAAUUAGCCGAUGUCGGAGUAGCUAGUUGGCGGGGUAAAGGCCCACCAAGGCGACGAUCCGUAGCUGGUCUGAGAGGAUGAUCAGCCACACUGGAACUGAGACACGGUCCAGACUCCUACGGGAGGCAGCAGUGGGGAAUAUUGGGCAAUGGGCGCAAGCCUGAUCCAGCCAUACCGCGUGGGUGAAGAAGGCCUUCGGGUUGUAAAGCCCUUUUGUUGGGAAAGAAAAGCAGCAGGUUAAUACGCCGCUGUUCUGACGGUACCCAAAGAAUAAGCACCGGCUAACUUCGUG